CCACGGUGCGGAGCACGUGUCUACGUCAAGAGCUCAAGUUAACACUUGGGAGUCGCCGAUUGGGACUACCAAGUCGCCGAUUCCAGGGGGGAAUCGCCAACUCUACGCCUCGUGGACAGCUCUGGUAGGCUGCCACUAGGCUCAUAGGGAGUCGGCGAUUGAACCUCUGGAUCGGCGAUUCCCAUACCUGAAUCGCCGAUUCCCAGCCGUUACUUGAGCGGACCUUCGCCAUUAAGGCAUUCCUUAUUAGGGGUACCUUAAUGGCGUGGGCCCCACUCGAUUGAAUGGGGAAACGCCCCCCAAGACCCUAUAAAAGGGGUCCUUGGGGGACCUCUAUCCUCAACUCACUCUCUUGACACACACUCCAACCAGAGCAAUCCAAGGA
rnacentral:lncRNA from 1 species